AGCUUUAUAGUCAUGUUUAAUGAUAUUAGACUGCAAUUCUAAAGGAGUAGGAAUCUACUAAGGCUU
rnacentral:tRNA from 1 species